rnacentral:misc_RNA from 1 species
GAUGAAGAACGUAGCGAAAUGCGAUAAGUAAUGUGAAUUGCAGAAUUCAGUGAAUCAUCGAAUCUUUGAACGCACAUUGCACCCGCCAGUAUUCUGGCGGGCAUGCCUGUCCGAGCGUCAUUUCAACCCUCGAACCCCUCCGGGGGGUCGGCGUUGGGGAUCGGCCCUCCCUUAGCGGGUGGCCGUCUCCGAAAUACAGUGGCGGUCUCGCCGCAGCCUCUCCUGCGCAGUAGUUUGCACACUCGCAUCGGGAGCGCGGCGCGUCCACAGCCGUUAAACACCCAACUUCUGAAAUGUUGACCUCGGAUCAGGUAGGAAUACCCGCUGAACUUAAGCAUAUCAAUAAGCGGAGGA